rnacentral:rRNA from 1 species
GACGAACGCUGGCGGCGUGCUUAACACAUGCAAGUCGAACGGAAAGGCCCUGCUUUUGUGGGGUGCUCGAGUGGCGAACGGGUGAGUAACACGUGAGUAACCUGCCCUUGACUUUGGGAUAACUUCAGGAAACUGGGGCUAAUACCGGAUAGGAGCUCCUGCUGCAUGGUGGGGGUUGGAAAGUUUCGGCGGUUGGGGAUGGACUCGCGGCUUAUCAGCUUGUUGGUGGGGUAGUGGCUUACCAAGGCUUUGACGGGUAGCCGGCCUGAGAGAGUGACCGGCCACAUUGGGACUGAGGUACGGCCCAGACUCCUACGGGAGGCAGCAGUGGGGAAUAUUGCACAAUGGGCGGAAGCCUGAUGCAGCAACGCCGCGUGCGGGAUGACGGCCUUCGGGUUGUAAACCGCUUUCGCCUGUGACGAAGCGUGAGUGACGGUAAUGGGUAAAGAAGCACCGGCUAACUACGUG